GACGAACGCUGGCGGCGUGCCUAAUACAUGCAAGUAGAACGCACAGUUUAUACCGUAGCUUGCUACACCAUAGACUGUGAGUUGCGAACGGGUGAGUAACGCGUAGGUAACCUGCCUGGUAGCGGGGGAUAACUAUUGGAAACGAUAGCUAAUACCGCAUAAUAUUGAUUAUUGCAUGAUAAUUAAUUGAAAGGUGCAAUUGCACCACUACCAGAUGGACCUGCGUUGUAUUAGCUAGUAGGUGAGGUAACGGCUCACCUAGGCGACGAUACAUAGCCGACCUGAGAGGGUGAUCGGCCACACUGGGACUGAGACACGGCCCAGACUCCUACGGGAGGCAGCAGUAGGGAAUCUUCGGCAAUGGACGAAAGUCUGAACGAGCAACGCCGCGUGAGGGAAGAAGGUUUUCGGAUCGUAAAGCUCUGUUGUAAGAGAAGAACGGGUGUGAGAGUGGAAAGUUCACACUGUGACGGUAUCUUACCAGAAAGGGACGGCUAACUACGUG
rnacentral:rRNA from 1 species